rnacentral:rRNA from 1 species
AGAGUUUGAUCAUGGCUCAGAUUGAACGCUGGCGGCAUGCCUUACACAUGCAAGUCGAACGGCAGCGCGGGAGCAAUCCUGGCGGCGAGUGGCGAACGGGUGAGUAAUAUAUCGGAACGUGCCUUAGAGUGGGGGAUAACUAGUCGAAAGACUAGCUAAUACCGCAUACGACCUACGGGUGAAAGUGGGGGAUCGCAAGACCUCAUGCUUUUAGAGCGGCCGAUAUCUGAUUAGCUAGUUGGUGGGGUAAAAGCCUACCAAGGCGACGAUCAGUAGCUGGUCUGAGAGGACGACCAGCCACACUGGGACUGAGACACGGCCCAGACUCCUACGGGAGGCAGCAGUGGGGAAUUUUGGACAAUGGGGGCAACCCUGAUCCAGCAAUGCCGCGUGUGUGAAGAAGGCCUUCGGGUUGUAAAGCACUUUUGUUCGGAAAGAAAUCGCUCUGGCUAAUACCUGGGGUGGAUGACGGUACCGGAAGAAUAAGCACCGGCUAACUACGUGCCAGCAGCCGCGGUAAUACGUAGGGUGCAAGGGUUAAUCGGAAUUACUGGGCGUAAAGCGUGCGCAGGCGGUUGUGCAAGACAGAUGUGAAAUCCCCGGGCUUAACCUGGGAACUGCAUUUGUGACUGCACGGCUAGAGUGUGUCA